GCGCCCGUAGCUCUAAAUUGGAUAGAGCGAUGGACUCCAAAUCCAGUGGUUGAGGGUUCAAGUCCCUCCGGGCGUGCCA
rnacentral:tRNA from 1 species